ACUUGACCUCGGUGAACCAAAGUUACUUAGGUAACUUUGUGUGUUGAGAAGAAGCCUUGCUUAUCCUUAUCUGAUCAGACUGUUUCAAAAGGAAGAAGGGAGCGCACAUGACAGCCUGUCCACGGUUGGCAUAAAGCAAAAGGAACCUUAUCCUUAAGGAGGAAGCUUAUUGGAUCAUUUAAAUUAAAGCAAAAGCUUAUCCCUUGUAAUAAUGUAGUUUCCUAAACCCUAGUCUCUAAUGUCGCCUCUCUAUAUAUUGUAAACUCAUGUCAUUAAUCAAAGUAAGCAAGUUAUGAGUCUCUCUUAGUCUUUAUUCUCUCAAUGGUUUCAUACUAGACUCCUAAUCUCAUUUCAUACUCAAAUCUCUUCUAAAUCACUUCUAGUCUUUCUUAUUUACUCAGAUUACUCUACUCAAUCCUAAAAUUGAUAUGGUAUCAGAGCCAGGUUCAUAGGGAACUUGGUUUCGUUGGGUUCUUUGAAGAUUCAAGAUUGAAGCUUUGAAGAAACAGUUUGGUGUUCUUGUGUUCUAAGCGGUUCUGGGUAGUCUUUCUGAGUUCUAUUGGUUGUGUGAGGCGUUCUUGAAGCUGUGUGGGUAAAAGGUGAAGCUGCUAGUGUUCACUCAAGACAGUUACCUCAAGAGAAAGUUAUUGAAGUCUAAAGGGUUCUACAUUCAACAUGGAGAGUGGGAUGAACAUGAACAUGAAGGUGGCGGUUUGUUUCAAGGGAAACAACUACUUGGUGUGGUCUCGGAUGGUGAGAACCACAGUGGGAAGCAAGGGGCUUUGGAAGCACGUCACGCCAGGAGAAGCUCCAAAGCUCAUCACUCAAGGAGAGGCUGAAGAUGAAGCGGCAAGCAAGGCAGAAGAGAAGUGGCAUCAAGAGGACAUGUUGGUGAUGUCUGUGCUUCAUGCGUCCCUUGAGCCGGCUAUUCUGGAUGCAUACAGCUACUGUGAGUCUGCUAAAGAGCUGUGGGAUACCUUGAAGAAGGUGUAUGGCAACACUUCAAACCUAAGCCGAGUGUUUGAAGUGAAGCAGGCUAUCAACAACCUUGUACAAGAAGACAUGUAGUUCACUAAGCAUCUAGGAAGAUUCAGAAGCCUCUGGUCCGAGAUGGAGUUGCUUAGGCCAAGCACAACGGAUGCUGAUGAGCUUAACAAGAGGAGAGAGCAAGAUAAGGUCUUUGGGCUACUCCUCACCCUAAACCCGGCGUACAACGGUCUCAUCCAGCACCUACUUAGGGAGGAUACUCUACCUGACCUUGAGGAUGUGUGUGCGCGGAUUCAGAAGGAGCAAGGCUCCAUUGGGCUGUUUGGGAAGAAUGGAGACCUUUCCCUUGUAAGUCAAGCAACUCAAGAGGAGGGGAGUGAAGCUCCACAAGCAAACAAGGCUGCACAUGGGAAGUUUGAGGAGAGGAGGUUCAAUGGGAGUUGUGAUCACUGCAAGAAGCAUGGCCACAAGAAGAGCCAAUGCUGGAUACUCCACCCUCAUCUCAAGCCGGCUAAGUUCAUGAAGGAUCGUGAGGCAAAGGCUAAUGUCUCAGAUGGUACAAGUAGAGCUGGUACAAGCAAAGGAAAGGAGAUAGAAGGGCGUGAGGCAGGUGAUGGAAAGUCUCUUGUAGCCUACACUGGAGCACCAAGCAACCGUGGGAACAAUGAUCAAGAGUAUCUAAGGAGAUCCGACCUUGAUGCUCUCAUUAAGAUGUUCAAGGAGAAUGGUAACACCUUUGGGUAUUCUUUUGGUGCUAGGGUGGUAGAGAACUAUGAGAAUCUAACUAGAACUGAUAGGAUGCAUGAGAGCGUGAUAGAAAUGGUAAAUCAAUCUAGGAUUGCAAACUUUGCUAGAAAUGAUCAUGCAUUCAAACCAUCUAGUAUCCUUGCGCAUAUUGCUAGUUCUCAUGACAUUAAGCCAUUAGUGAUUGAUUCAGGUGCAUCUCAUCAUAUGAUAAGUGACACUAACUUGAUUAAAAACAUUGUACCAAUGAAUGGAAAUGUAAUGAUUGCUAAUGGAGAUAAGAUUCCUAUUAGAGGAAUAGGAAGUCUUAAACUGUUUGAUAAGGAAAGUAAAGCUUUUUAUAUGCCUGAAUUUACAUCAAACUUGUUAUCUGUUAAGAAGUGUGCUACUGAUUUGCAAUGCAAUGUUAUUUUCAGUCCUAAUGAUGUGAAGUUUCAGGAUAUUAAAAGCAGCAAGAUGAUUGGAAAGGGAGUGACUAAAGGAGAGCUAUAUUUACUUGAAGAUCUCACUCCUGUUUCUAGAUAUAGCUGCUCGUUUACUUCUGUUUCUGGUUCUAGUUUAAGUAAAAAUGCAUUGUGACAUGCUAGAUUAGGACACCCUCAUAAUAAGGCUUUAAAACUGAUGUUGCCAGGUGUUUCCUUUGAGAAUAAUGAGUGUGAAGCUUGCAUUUUAGGCAAGCAUUGUAGAACUGUCUUUACCAAGUCUACUACUGUUUAUGAAAAGUGUUUUGAUCUUAUACAUUCUGAUGUUUGGACUGCACCUUGCCUAUCUAGAGAAAACCAUAAGUAUUAUGUAACUUUCAUUGAUGAAAAAUCCAAAUACACCUGGUUAACCUUAAUUCCAACCAAAGAUAGGGUAUUUGAUGCAUUUAAAAACUUUCAAUCCUAUGUGACUAACCAUUACAAUGCCAAGAUAAAGAUUUUCAGGUCAGAUAACGGAGGAGAGUACACGGGACAAGCAUUCAAACUACACCUAUCUCAGCAUGGAAUCCUUCAUCAGACAAGCUGUCCCUAUACCCCACAACAGAAUGGUGUGGCUGAGAGGAAGAACAGGCAUUUGAUGGAAGUAGCCAGGUCCAUGAUGUUUCAAUCCAACGUACCUAAGAAGUUUUGGAGUGAUGCAGUUGCUACGGCUUGUUAUCUCAUCAACAGGACACCAACUCUGAUUCUUCAAGGACAAUCACCAUUUGAGGUACUGAACCAGUACAAGCCCUCUCUAGAGCAUAUGAAGAUCUUUGGAUGUUUGUGUUUUGUGAUGGUGCCUGGAGAGAUUAGAAACAAGCUCGAGGCUAAGAGUUCAAAGGCAAUGUUUAUUGGAUUUUCAUCAAGUCAGAAAGGAUACAAGUGCUAUGAUCCUCACACAAGGAGAGUGUUAGUAUCUAGAGAAGUGAAGUUUGUUGAAGAAAAAGGAUACUAUGAGGAGCAGAUUCAAGAUGAUUUGAAAGAUCUCACUUCUGAUAGAGCUGAAACCUUAAGGAUUAUCCUAGAGGGUCUUGGAAUCAACAUGAAUCAAGGUGGGAGAAGCAAUACUUCAGUACCGGAUCAUCAAACUUCCAAUCUUGAUCAUGAGGGGGGGAAUGAAACAAGAACUCAAACUCAAAACCGUGAAGAGACAAGUAGAGAAGAGAGUUCUGGUUCUCAUGAUCAAGCUGUGGAAUCAAAUGAUCAACAAGAAGAAGCUGAAGAGAGUCAGCUAAGGGAAGAAGGAGCUGAAGCAAGUCAGCUAGGAGAAGAAAGAUCUGAAUCAAGUGUGCUGCCACAAGAAGAAGAACAAGAGAUGGCGCAAGAAGGGCCAGUGUUGAGAAGAAGUACAAGGCUGAGAAAGGAUCCUUCUAGUUGGGUAAACACAAGAGUGUACUACAAUGCCCAAGCUGUGAAGCAUCCUACUCAGGCCGUGUGUUCUUUUGCUCAAUAUCCAGAAACACAUUGUGCAUUCAUGGUAAACUUAGAUGAGAAUCACAUUCCAAGAAGCUAUGAAGAGGCAAUGAAGGAUAAGGAAUGGAAGGAAUCAGUUGGAGCUGAGGCAGGAGCUAUGAUAAAGAAUGAUACAUGGUAUGAGAGUGAACUACCAAAAGGAAAGAAGGCAGUAUCUAGUAGAUGGAUCUUCACAAUCAAAUACAAGGCUGAUGGGCAGAUUGAGAGGAAGAAGACUAGAUUAGUAGCAAGAGGGUUCACUCAAACAUAUGGAGAGGAUUACAUUGAGACAUUUGCACCAGUAUCCAAGUUACACACCAUUAGGAUAGUUCUAAGCUUGGCGGUUAACCUUGGAUGGGGAUUGUGGCAAAUGGAUGUGAAGAAUGCAUUCUUACAAGGAGAACUUGAGGAUGAAGUCUACAUGUAUCCUCCACCAGGUCUUGAGCAUCUAGUGAAGAGAGGGAAUGUACUAAGGCUAAAGAAGGCUAUCUAUGGGUUGAAGCAAUCACCAAGAGCUUGGUACAACAAGUUGAGCACAACUCUGAAUGGCCGAGGCUUUAAGAAGUCAGAAUUGGACCAUACUCUCUUUACCCUCACUACUCCCUCAGGUAUGGUUGCUCUCCUUGUGUAUGUGGAUGAUAUCAUUAUCACAGGGAGUGAUAAGGAAGGUAUCAAAGCAACCAAGGAGUUUCUCAAAUCUAUGUUCGAAAUCAAAGACUUGGGAGAAAUGAAAUACUUUCUUGGAAUUGAGAUUUGUAGAUCCAAGGAAGGCUUAUUCAUGUCCCAAAGAAAGUAUACACUUGAUCUUUUGAAAGGUGCAGGUGCUUAUGGAGGCAAGACAGCAAGGAUGCCUAUGCAGGAUGGCUACAAAGUACCAAGAGAGGGGGAGAUUGAAGACAGCAAGCCAUUUCAUGAUCCUAAACUCUAUAGAAAACUUGUUGGCAAAUUGAUUUAUCUAACCAUCACAAGGCCUGAUAUAUGCUUUGCUGUGAAUCAGGUGAGCCAACACAUGCAGCUUCCCAAGGAACAUCACUGGCGCAUGGUGGAGAGGCUGUUGAUGUAUCUGAAUGGCUCGCCGGAUCAAGGAGUAUGGAUGGGGUGCAAUGGAAGCACAGAAGUGGUGGGCUAUUGUGAUGCUGAUUGGGCAGGAGAUAGAGCUGACAGGAGAUCAACCACAGGCUAUUGCACAUUCAUUGGAGGCAACUUGGUGACUUGGAAGAGCAAGAAGCAGAAGGUGGUGUCAUGUUCAAGUGCAGAAGCUGAGUAUAGAGCUAUGCUGAAGCUCACAAACGAGUUUGUGUGGAUCAAAGGCAUCUUGAAGCACUUGGAGAUUGAUCAAGCCACUCCAAUGACAAUGCAUUGCGACAAUCAAGCUGCCAUUCACAUUGCAUCCAACUCGGUGUUCCAUGAGAGAACCAAGCACAUUGAGGUUGAUUGCCACAAGGUGAGACAGAUGAUUGUGCUUGGAGUGAUCUUACCUUGCUAUACGAGAAGUGAAGAUCAGUUGGCUGAUGUGUUCACCAAGGCGGCAAGACAAAAGACUAUGGAGUCCAUUCACAUUAGAUUGGGACUCAUAGAUCUUGGGAAGAGAAGGAGCUGAUCCCCUUAGCUGUGAGAUCUUUACUCUUUUUCCCUCAUUAAGGUUUUAUCCCAAUGGGUUUUUCUUAGUGAGGUUUUUAAUGAGGAAUAUCUCAUGGCUGUCCAAGCUUAGACUUUCACAAAGCUAAGCUUGAGGGGGAGUGUUAAGAUGAGUUCAGUAUAUGAGAAGAGAUGACUUGAGGAAAUAAGGGAAAUGGAGUUAGGAGAGGAUUGGGCAAGGCCGUACAGAAGCCGUACUAGGCCGUACAGAUUGGGCAAGGUAACUUGACCUCGGUGAACCAAAGUUACUUAGGUAACUUUGUGUGUUGAGAAGAAGCCUUGCAUAACCUUAUCUGAUCAGACUGUUGCAAAAGGAAGAAGGGAGCGCACAUGACAGCCUGUCCGCGGUUGGCAUAAAGCAAAAGGAACCUUAUCCUUAAGGAGGAAGCUUAUUGGAUCAUUUGAAUUAAAGCAAAAGCUUAUCCCUUGUAAUAGUGUAGUUUUCCUAAACCCUAGUCUCUAAUGUCGCCUCUCUAUAUAUUGUAAACUCAUGUCAUUAAUCAAAGUAAGAAAGUUAUGAGUCUCUCUUAGUCUCUUUGUCUCUCAAUGGUUCUAUACUAAGACUCUUAAUCUCAUUUCAUACUCAAAUCUCUUCUAAAUCACUUCUAGUCUUUCUUAUUCACUCAGAUUACUCUACUCAAUCCUAAAAGUGAUAUGGUAUCAGAGCCAGGUUCCUAGAGAACUUGGUUUCGUUGGGUUCUUUGAAGAUUCAAGAUUGAAGCUUUGAAGAAACAGUUUGGUGUUCUUGUGUUCUUAAGCGGUUCUGGGUAGUCUUUCUGAGUUCUAUUGGUUGUUUGAAGCUGCUAGUGUUCGCUCAAGACAGUUACCUCAAGAGAAAGUUAUUGAAGUCU
rnacentral:lncRNA from 1 species